rnacentral:rRNA from 1 species
CAGUCGCCGCGGUAAUACGGAGGGAGCUAGCGUUAUUCGGAAUUACUGGGCGUAAAGCGCACGUAGGCGGCUUUGUAAGUAAGAGGUGAAAGCCCGGAGCUCAACUCCGGAACUGCCCUUUAGACUGCAUCGCUUGAAUCCAGGAGAGGUGAGUGGAAUUCCGAGUGUAGAGGUGAAAUUCGUAGAUAUUCGGAAGAACACCAGUGGCGAAGGCGGCUCACUGGGCUGGUAUUGACGCUGAGGUGCGAAAGCGUGGGGAGCAAACAGGAUUAGAUACCCGGGUAGUCCCUGUCUCUUAUAC